GCCCGGCUGGCGCAAUGGUAGCGCGCAAGACUUCUACCCUGAUAUCUUGAGGCUGUGGGUUCGAGCCCCACGUUGGGCU
rnacentral:tRNA from 1 species